AGUAGGGAAUCUUCCACAAUGGACGCAAGUCUGAUGGAGCAACGCCGCGUGAGUGAAGAAGGUUUUUCGGAUCGUAAAGCUCUGUUGUUAAAGAAGAACACGUAUGAGAGUAACUGUUCAUACGUUGACGGUAUUUAACCAGAAAGUCACGGCUAACUACGUGUCAG
rnacentral:rRNA from 1 species